CUGGAAUAUGCUGUUUACAUGACCUGUUUUAAAUUCGGAAUACUGGCAUAUUUUGAAUAAUAGUGGAAUAUUGGUUUGCAUGUAAACGUACUCAAGGAGACUGAAUGAAGAA